rnacentral:snoRNA from 15 species
ACAGGAUGAUGAGUCACUCGCUGAGUGACAAUAAGCCGAGUGUUAGCGGUUUUUAUGUAAUCGUGAUGAUCAUUCCCUCAAAAGCGAUAAUUGUGAACUGACUGU